rfam:Triticum aestivum genome assembly, contig: Triticum_aestivum_CS42_TGACv1_scaffold_641757_T_7BL-0.154238_6BL-0.087530
UCAUUACUCCCUCCGAUCGAUAUUACUUGUUGCUGAAAUUGAUGUAUCUAGACGUAUUUCAGUGCUAGAUACAUCCGUUUGAGCGACAAGUAAUAUGGAUCGGAGGGAGUACUAU